UGUGUCUGGUUAGCCACAUGGGAACUAGAUGGACCUUUGAAGUUACCUUUUUAUGUUGGACUGGCAAGGUUGUCCUGUUGCACAUCACCUUUGCUCUACCUGAGGCAUGCCCCUCAGAGAUGGAAAUGGAAGGAAUGUUGGGGGUGAGAACUGAAAAUGAAGAGAGGAAAAAAAUUGGUUUGGUAUUGCAAGAGACUCCAUCUCUAUGCAAUUUCCUACAAUCUCAAUUUUUUUCCCCCAUAGGAUUGGGAGUCAGGAGAAUUUAAGCCCUCAGAACAUCAUGCCUGGGUGAAAAACAGAAGAUUAUCUUCAUCCAGGAUAUCGUGAGCAUUCAAGUCUGGAAGAUCAUCCACCAGAUCAUCCUUCUGGACUUUUUGCUCUUUCUCCAUGAAUUGAUACUCCAUUUACCAGAAAAUCAUGUUGAAAUAAUCAAGGACAUUCUGAUGGCCCAACAAUUACAUCUGCCCAGAACACUGGAGGCAGAAAAGUCCAUUAUGUAUCUGCUGAUGAAAUAAAAACCUCCAGUGCCCAGACUCUCUGCCUGCAUAUAUACGUCGGGAACUAAUAUAGGCUUAUAUUUAACUUUUUCAUGUUAUGUUUCAUAUUAUAUAUUUAGCCCUGCCUGUCCUAGAGGGAGACCUUUACCCCAAAACUAUGACUGGCAUAUCUGGUUUAUGACAUCCUCGUUACCUGGGUAGUCAGGGCUGUGCUGCUAGAAAUGUAGCAUCCUAGGGAAAAUAGACCCUGGGCUGGAUGGUAAAUGGAUGGGCUCAAUGGCAGGCAUUCAUGGCAAGGUACAUCAAGGGAACCCAGGCAUCCAGUCAGCUGCAAAUAUAAUCUCCCAGGAUGUCUAAGACGGAUCCACUGCCAAGAACGGCAGGAAUGUCCUUCCGACAUUGUCCAGAAAUUAUGACCCUUUCUGAACAGGGAAGAUUCUUGCUGAUAUUACUUCUGAUAGUUCACAUCUUUGGGUCUUGCUUCCUGUUAGCUCGAGGUCUGCCGGGUAAGAAUGCCAGCGCUAAGGCACCUGUUCUUCCUCUGAUCACAAGAAAUGCUAGCCCUCCCUUGACAACAAAGGACAUUCCACCUCCGAUAACCACAGAAAUGGCUCCCCCUCUCAUGGCAACAGAGGUGGCUUUUACUAGGGCCGGAACGGCACAGGCUCCCCAUGACAAACUGCCCGAAACAAGAGCCGGAAUUCUGUCUGGUGCUACGCUUGGAGGUCUCAUUGGUGGGUCUCUUGUCGUGAUCUCAGUCCUUAUAGGCUUGGUUGCUUUCCAGAUGGUCGCUUCUAAAAGAACUGCAGGGCCUCGUGAAGCGAGCGCAGCCAGACUUGCUAACAGCGCUGAGCUCAAGGCCAGGGAGAGGGCACAGCAAAGGAGCCAGAGGACUCACAGAAGCCAGGACAGUGGGAGAAGCAGAGGCGGCAACAGUAGCAGAGGCACUGGGAGAGGCGGUGGGAGAGGAGGUGGGAGAAUUGGAGACAGAGGCAUCCCCAGAGGAGGGAGAGGUGCUCCUAGAAAAUGAUCAUCGUCUUUGUCCAGAAGAUUGUCGUUAUUCCUGUCUGCAGCAACAUCCUGUCUGUGGCGCGUGGCCUUUUUAACUCUGAGGGAACAGCUCCCCGUUCUUGGAACCUGUGAGGAAAUGAGAGAAAUGAUUUUGGCCACUUCUUUAGAACCAGCUCUUACACUCAAACAGAGGCAAAGGGACAUUUAAAACAAAAAGGCACCGUAUCCACUGCUAAAAUAAAACAGACUGUUGCUUCGUUCUGUGUUCGAGU
ensembl:lncRNA pregnancy-specific beta-1-glycoprotein 2-like